rnacentral:rRNA from 1 species
GAUGAACGCUGGCGGCGUGCCUAAUACAUGCAAGUCGAGCGAACAGACGAGGAGCUUGCUCCUCUGACGUUAGCGGCGGACGGGUGAGUAACACGUGGAUAACCUACCUAUAAGACUGGGAUAACUUCGGGAAACCGGAGCUAAUACCGGAUAAUAUAUUGAACCGCAUGGUUCAAUGGUGAAAGACGGUUUUGCUGUCACUUAUAGAUGGAUCCGCGCCGCAUUAGCUAGUUGGUAAGGUAACGGCUUACCAAGGCAACGAUGCGUAGCCGACCUGAGAGGGGGAGGGGCGCAAGUGGAAAGGAUACAUGGUAGAGACUCCUAAGGGAGGCAGCAGUAGGGAAGAUGCGGAAAAAGGCGAAAGCAUGAUCGAGACACGAUGCGUGAGGGAUGAAAGGCGUUGGAUUGUAAAACUACGUUAUGAGGGAAGAAAAAAAGAGAAAGAAACUAUGCACGGCGGGACGGGACGUAAUAAGAAGACCACGGCUAAUUACGUG